AUUGACCUCGGAUCAGGUAGGGAUACCCGCUGAACUUAAGCAUAUCAAUAAGCGGAGGAAAAGAAACCACAGGAUUGCCUCAGUAACGGCGAGUGAAGCGGCCACAGCUCAAAUAUCACUAGUGAUCGCGGCGCUGCAGUCGACAUAUGGGAGGGGCUCCAACGGCGUGGAUGCAUAGCUUG
rnacentral:rRNA from 1 species